rnacentral:rRNA from 1 species
GGUCGAAAGAGGAAAUUCAUUCGCGUUUCGAUCGUCGAAGUUGGACGUUUGUAUGACGGAUGGUGUUUCGGCAUCGUCCGCGUCUUAUGUUCAUCGAAUCGAUGUCGAACGCGUGCACUUUUCCUCUAGUAGGACGUCGCGAUCCGUUGGGUGUCUGUCUAAGACCCGAGGUGGAGCCCACGCGAUAUUUUUGAUCGCGUGGACCCUCGGUGUUCCGGCAGACUCGCUCGACGGUAUAAGAAUGGCGCGGGGCCGCUACUUUAGUUAGCGUUCGGCCCGUAGCAAGCACGUUUCGCGUUUGACGGCCAUCGGACCUAGUGCCGAUUCUGUCCCGGAACGACUGUUGGUUACGGUGUUAUAUCUCGAACAGACCUCGU